GGUUUUGCUGAAGUUAGAGAAAAAGAUAAUUGGAUUUCUGCAUAAAGAGCAUCCUUGGACCUUGAACGUUAUAUUUCAACAUGGUUUUAAAGUAGUUCUGCAAUCACAAGAACGGGAGGUUCCUUAUUCUGCAGCUGCUAG
rnacentral:lncRNA from 12 species